GAUGAACGCUGGCGGCGUGCCUAAUACAUGCAAGUCGAGCGAACAGACGAGGAGCUUGCUCCUCUGACGUUAGCGGCGGACGGGUGAGUAACACGUGGAUAACCUACCUAUAAGACUGGGAUAACUUCGGGAAACCGGAGCUAAUACCGGAUAAUAUAUUGAACCGCAUGGUUCAAUAGUGAAAGACGGUUUUGCUGUCACUUAUAGAUGGAUCCGCGCCGCAUUAGCUAGUUGGUAAGGUAACGGCUUACCAAGGCAACGAUGCGUAGCCGACCUGAGAGGGUGAUCGGCCACACUGGAACUGAGACACGGUCCAGACUCCUACGGGAGGCAGCAGUAGGGAAUCUUCCGCAAUGGGCGAAAGCCUGACGGAGCAACGCCGCGUGAGUGACUAAGGUCUUCGGAUCGUAAAACUCUGUUACUAGGGAAGAACAAAUGUGUAAGUAACUAUGCACGUCUUGACGGUACCUAAUCAGAAAGCCACGGCUAACUACGUG
rnacentral:rRNA from 1 species